rnacentral:rRNA from 1 species
GGAAUUUUCCGCAAUGGGCGAAAGCCUGACGGAGCAAGACCGCGUGGGGGAGGAAGGUUUUUGGAUCGUAAACCCCUUUUGUCAAGGAAGAAGCUCUGACGGUACUUGACGAAUAAGCCUCGGCUAACUCCGUGCCAGCAGCCGCGGUAAUACGGAGGAGGCAAGCGUUAUCCGGAAUGGUUGGGCGUAAAGCGUCUGUAGGUGGCCAGCUAAGUCUGCUGUUAAAGAUCACAGUUCAACUGUGGGAAGGCAGUGGAAACUGGCAAGCUAGAGGUUGGUAGGGGUAAAGGGAAUUCCCGGUGUAGCGGUGAAAUGCGUAGAUAUCGGGAAGAACACCGGUGGCGAAAGCGCUUUACUGGGCCAGACCUGACACUGAAGGACGAAAGCUAGGGGAGCGAAAGGGAUUAGAUACCCCUGUAGUCCUAGCUGUAAACGAUGGAGACUAGGUGUAGCACGUAUCGACCCGUGCUGUAUCGUAGCCAACGCGUUAAGUCUCCCGC